GUCUACAGCCAUGCCAUCCUGAACAUGCCCGAUCUCGUCUGAUCUCGGAAGCUAAGCAGGGUUGGGCCUGGUUAGUACUUGAAUGGGAGACCACCUAGGAAGACCAGGUGAUGCAGGAG
rnacentral:rRNA from 1 species